GCCCUCGUAGCUCAGUGGAUAGAGCGUCUGCCUCCGGAGCAGAAGGUCGUAGGUUCGAGUCCUAUCGAGGGCACCG
rnacentral:tRNA from 4 species